rnacentral:sRNA from 2 species
GGAAGUAAAAGUCGUAACAAGGUUUCCGUAGGUGAACCUGCGGAAGGAUCAUUACCGAGUUCAUGCCCGCGAGGGUAGACCUCCCACCCUGUGUUAAUAUUUAUACCCUGUUGCUUCGGCGGCUCGCUCGCGACCGUCAAAGACCCCCCCAACCCUGAAUGUUAGUGUCGUCUGAGUACUAUAUAAUAGUUAAAACUUUCAACAACGGAUCUCUUGGUUCUGGCAUCGAUGAAGAACGCAGCGAAAUGCGAUAAGUAAUGUGAAUUGCAGAAUUCAGUGAAUCAUCGAAUCUUUGAACGCACAUUGCGCCCCCUGGUAUUCCGGGGGGCAUGCCUGUUCGAGCGUCAUUUUCAACCCUCACGCCCCGCGUGGUCGUGGGCCCCGCCGGUGACGGCGGGCCCUAAAGCAAGUGGCAGCGCCCGUGGGCCCUGAACGUAGUAUAUCUCUCGUUACGGGUCCCCGCGGGCCGCCCGCCAGCAACCCCCCAUUUUUUCAGGUUGACCUCGGAUCAGGUAGGGAUACCCGCUGAACUUAAGCAUAUCAAUAA